AUAAACGCUAGCGGCAGGCCUAACACAUGCAAGUCGAGGGGCAGCGGAAGAAGUAGCUUGCUACUUCUGCCGGCGACCGGCGCACGGGUGCGUAACGCGUAUGCAACCUACCUUUAACAGGGGGAUAAUCCGAAGAAAUUUGGUCUAAUACCCCAUAAUAUUUCAGAAGGCAUCUUUUGAGGUUGAAAACUCCGGUGGUUAAAGAUGGGCAUGCGUUGUAUUAGCUAGAUGGUGAGGUAACGGCUCACCAUUGCGAUGAUACAUAGGGGGACUGAGAGGUUUUCCCCCCACACUGGUACUGAGACACGGACCAGACUCCUACGGGAGGCAGCAGUGAGGAAUAUUGGUCAAUGGACGCAAGUCUGAACCAGCCAUGCCGCGUGCAGGAUGAAGGUGCUAUGCAUUGUAAACUGCUUUUGUACGAGGGUAAAUUCAGAUACGUGUAUCUGUUUGAAAGUAUCGUACGAAUAAGGAUCGGCUAACUCCGUGCCAGCAGCCGCGGUAAUACGGAGGAUCCGAGCGUUAUCCGGAUUUAUUGGGUUUAAAGGGUGCGUAGGCGGUUUGAUAAGUUAGAGGUGAAAGCUCGAUGCUCAACAUCGAAAUUGCCUCUGAUACUGUCAGACUAGAGUGUAGUUGCGGAAGGCGGAAUGUGUGGUGUAGCGGUGAAAUGCUUAGAUAUCACACAGAACACCGAUUGCGAAGGCAGCUUUCCAAGCUAUUACUGACGCUGAGGCACGAAAGCGUGGGUAGCGAACAGGAUUAGAUACCCUGGUAGUCCACGCCGUAAACGAUGAUAACUCGUUGCCGGCGAUAUAGUGUCGGUGACUAAGCGAAAGCGAUAAGUUAUCCACCUGGGGAGUACGUUCGCAAGAAUGAAACUCAAAGGAAUUGACGGGGGCCCGCACAAGCGGUGGAGCAUGUGGUUUAAUUCGAAGCAACGCGAAGAACCUUACCAGGUCUUGACAUCCCGAUGCUAUUCUUAGAGAUAGGAAGUUACUUCGGUACAUCGGAGACAGGUGGUGCAUGGUUGUCGUCAGCUCGUGCCGUGAGGUGUCGGGUUAAGUCCCAUAACGAGCGCAACCCCUACUGUUAGUUGCCAGCAUGUCAAGAUGGGCACUCUAGCAGGACUGCCGGUGUAAGCCGAGAGGAAGGUGGGGAUGACGUCAAAUCAGCACGGCCCUUACGUCCGGGGCGACACACGUGUUACAAUGGUCGGUACAGAGGGUAGCUACCUGGUGACAGGAUGCCAAUCUCGAAAGCCGAUCUCAGUUCGGAUUGGAGGCUGAAACUCGCCUCCAUGAAGUUGGAUUCGCUAGUAAUCGCGCAUCAGCCAUGGCGCGGUGAAUACGUUCCCGGGCCUUGUACACACCGCCCGUCAAGCCAUGGGAGUUGGGGGUGCCUGAAGUACGUGACCGCAAGGAGCGUCCUAGGGCAAAACCGAUGACUGGGGCU
rnacentral:rRNA from 1 species